CAGAUUGAGAAUAUGGAGCUCACUUUGAGAGGGAGUUUACAGAGACUAAGUGCCUCGCCUGCUGUUCCCUUCCCUCCUGUGAGUCAUUGGCAUGACCAUCUGUCUCCAGGAUUCCAUUCCCAGGACAGCGGU